UUGAUUUUAUUUAAAACUCCACUCAGAAUACGUUUUGGAAAACAAAAUACAGUUGGAUUUGGGUCCUCUGGCGGGCCCCCGAGGUUAGUCGGGGGUGGUCCGCCGAAGCAACAAACAUGGUAUGUUCACAGGGGUUUGGGAGUUGUAAACUCGGUAAUGAUCCCUCCGCUGGUUCACCAACGGAGA
rnacentral:misc_RNA from 1 species